rnacentral:rRNA from 1 species
CAAUAAGCGGAGGAAAAGAAACCAACAGGGAUUGCCUCAGUAACGGCGAGUGAAGCGGCAAGAGCUCAAAUUUGAAAUCUGGCCCCCCCGGGGCCCGAGUUGUAAUUUGCAGAGGAUGCUUCGGGCCCGGCCCCGGUCUAAGUCCCCUGGAACGGGGCGUCACGGAGGGUGAGAAUCCCGUCUGGGACCGGCGGCCGGACCCGUGCGAAGCUCCUUCGACGAGUCGAGUUGUUUGGGAAUGCAGCUCCAAAUGGGUGGUAAAUUUCAUCUAAAGCUAAAUACUGGUCGGAGACCGAUAGCGCACAAGUAGAGUGAUCGAAAGAUGAAAAGCACUUUGAAAAGAGAGUUAAACAGCAUGUGAAAUUGUUGAAAGGGAAGCGCUUGCGACCAGACUCGCCCGCGGGGGCUCAGCCGGCAUUCUUGCCGGUGCACUCCCCCGCGGUCGGGCCAGCGUCGGUUUGGGCGGUCGGUCAAAGGUCCCCGGAAUGUGUCGCCUCUCGGGGCGUCUUAUAGCCGGGGGCGCAAUGCGGCCUGCCCGGACCGAGGAACGCGCUCCGGCACGGACGCUGGCGUAAUGGUCGUAAGCGGCCCGUCUUGAAACAC